ensembl:lncRNA
AUGCCAGCCACAAAGGCGGCCCCGGGCUGUCCCCCCCGAGCUGUGCUGGUCCUCUUGCCCACUGCCAGCGGCAGGACCCUGCUGAGUUCCGUCUGUGGCACUUCGUGCAGCUUGGUUUCCAGGCCGCCGGCGGCAGCCGUGUGUUGCCGAGAGAACGCGGUGGCUGCCGGAGACUGGGACAGAGCCAGCGGCUGCACCGUGCGGUGCCCGAUCACCCCGGCCGGCUCGGGGUGCACUGGGCCCAGGCAAGGCUCUCUGAGGCCAGGAACACGGCAGCUCCAGGACUUCGCUUGGUGGUUUGGUAGCAGAGAACGGCGGAUUCGCCACCACUUUCAGGUCAACCCACGUUUGUUGCUUGCUGAGACUGAACACCUGUUCCUGACCUUACCAAGCUUGGAGCUGAGCCAGGCAGACCACGGAAACCUCACUUCGCUGGAGACCUUGUCCCUCACUUCCUCACAGUUCAGAAAGGAAUGGAUCCGUGGGAGAUGUCCUGGGCAGUGCCAGCAACCCGUCUUGGAUAUAUUUGCCGUUAAACCCAGGACAAAAGAAGGCGCACGUGCUGGCCUGAGGCUUGGGAGCCCACCCACUGCCCCACAGAGGGCCACUGGUGUGUGCCUCUGACUCUGUUUACCGUUGGAGACCAGAGGGGCUGCCCUUCCACGCCUGGUCCUGCCUGCAUUCCCUGCUGUCCUCCCUGUGUUCACGAGCGCGCUCCGUGCCAGCAGCUCUUCCAGGUGUUGGGGAUCCCACAGCAGACAGACACAGUGGCCUGCUUUAUGGAGCGGACAGUCCGGUGGCAGGAAGAACAGGCAGGCGAGGUAAAUGCUGAAAACAUAAAGCAGAGGAGCCAGUGACGCACGCUGCAGGUGAGCAGGGGCGGCAGUGCCGGGUCUUAAGAGGGUGGCAGGAGUUGAACUCGCCGAUGUAAGUUCUGGGAAGGCUCCCGCAUUGGGUGGUGUGGAGUGCAGCCCUGAGGAGGGGUGGUGGUGAGCCGUGAGCGGCAGGCGUGUCCGCAGGGCGGUGUUUCAGGCCAGAGGCGCGGCACGUGUGACCUCCCUGACGUGAGACACGUGGUCCCGUGUCUCCAGCCGCUCCUGUCGUCAGUGCACGUGCCUUAGGCCUCUGUCCCCUCUGCCAGCUUUGCUUUCCACACGGGCUCGUCCCCCCGUGCAGUCGUCGGUCUCUUCCCUCUCCAGAUCCUGAAGCGUCGCGUGGUUUGUACCCAUGCUGUUGUGCUUAGGUUAGGCGUCAUCUGGUUCAGGUGUGUGUUUGUGUGUCUCACGUACCCCGUGGAGGGCCGGGCAGAGUGUUUUGAAGGAAACAGCAGAGGGCAAGGGCUGGCACUGCAGGGGCCUGGAGUGUCACCGACGUUGAGUCACGUGGCACAGAAUGACGUGUGUGCAGGACGGGGACCCACCAUGACACAAGCACCCAACACUGCAUUUCUCAGAACGAAGCCCAGGAUUGGCGGCGUCUAACCAUAAUUAGUGCCUUCAUGGGUUCCAGGAACACGUCCCGAGGUCCAGGAUCGUCCCCUGGGCAGCUCUCGGUUCCAUUAUCAUCUGGCAAGCCUUAAACCAUGGCUUGAAACUGAAUCCAGAGAAUUUCACCCCAGAAGCAAUGUUCAGCUGGCAGUAAUUUUCCAAAGCAACCUUUUGAAUGAAAGCUGAAAGACUUUUGAAUACGGAAAGUUUUAUUAUAGCAGGAUGCCAUUAGGGUGUGUUUCUCCAGUUUAAAUAAUGCCACUUACUCUUCUGAUAUAUUGGUAUGCAGCUGUCUCUGUACACACAGAUACACACGAGUGUGCACACACACUCAUUUAUGCUGUAUGUUUUUGUGUGUGUGUGUAUGGUCUCUUCAGUGAUAUAUAGGGAAUUAGUUUGGAACACCUAGAUAUGACUAACAUAUUAGUAUAUGAAGGUAGGUGGCAAUUAGACUAAGCCCAGCCCUUGGGCUGCACUGUUACUGCACUAUCAAACCAGCUAAGUUGCCACGACAAAACCUUAGACGUGUUUCCAAUGGUCCUGUUUUAUUCUUAACAAAAGGGAAAUUGAGGUUUCAGAAACAGCAUCAUUUUAGUCUGUUAACAGACAGGUGUUGAUGGCUGAAUUCUUCGCCUGGACUUUGGGUCUCUUCAGACUGGUGUGGGAAGGACAGGUAGGGCCAUCCUGUGGGCUCAGCCCCCAUCAGGGGAGCUGCUUUCCCAGCUGUGAGGGGCCAGCCGAGCUUUCGGGAGUCUGUGUGGAGAGCACUGAGCUGUGCUUGAGCAGCAGACAUUUUCCAUGGUGGUUUCUGGGUCAUGCAGGGGACCCUGCACAUGCCCGAGUUCUUAGAGCACCCAUCACUCCCUCAUCCUGGCUUCAGUCCCUCUCUAGACACCCUUAAACUGUGUCUCCAGGCCCUCCCUGCAGCGCAGGGCUCUCUGGUCUCCCACUGCCUCCAUCUACUCCUUCACCAACAUUUCUUUGCAUCUCUGCUGUGCACUGGAGUGGCAGUCUCUGCUCCCAGAGAUGCAUAGGCUGCAGUGGCAGCAUCCUAUAGCAGCCACGGGGGUCGGGGCCAAGGGAAGCUCCCAGGCCUGGGUGGGGCUUCCUGGGGGUUGCAGGGUUGGCUGGUGAGGACGGUUGGGGGGGUGGCCACUUCCCCAGAAGUGCUGGGGGUGGCACUGGGUGAGAGCCAUCUGUGCAUGGUGUCCAAGGUUUUACCGUGCGAGACAGGGACAAGGUAAGGAGGGUAGUGACAAGAUGUUGGCUUCUGAGUAAUGACUCUCUCAGCAUCUGGAGGGUGCUUUCCAGGGAAGAGGGAAGCCAGAGGCUAGGAUACCGGUUGCAGACAAGUGCUUCUCGUGCAUGGUGGGGCUGCCUUCAAACCCAGACGCCCUGGCUCCAGAGGGGCCGGUGGUCACUUCUACCCCGGCUGCCUCCUUUUGCAGGGUCCCAAGUGAAGGCUCAGGGGACUCCCCUCAUUGCCUCAGCUCCUGCAUCUGUAAACCUGGGAGAAUUGAGACAUGGUACUCACCCCAUGAGAUUAGAGGAAUAAAUACUGUAUCUGAUGUCA